AGGGCACCACCAGGAGUGGAGCCUGCGGCUUAAUUUGACUCAACACGGGGAAACUUACCCGGCCUGGACACUGGAAGGAUUGACAGAUUGAGAGCUCUUUCUUGAUUCAGUGGGUGGUGGUGCAUGGCCGUUCUUAGUUGGUGGAGCGAUUUGUCUGGUUAAUUCCGAUAACGAACGAGACUCUAGCCUAUUAAAUAGGCUCCCGGCCUUUAAACGCCGGGAGGACUUCUUAGAGGGACAGGUGGCGGUUCAGCCGCACGAAAGAGAGUAAUAACAGGUCUGUGAUGCCCUUUGUUGUCCGGGGCCGCACGCGCGCUACACUGAAGAGAUCAGCGUGCUUUAUGUUCCUGCUCCGACCGGAGUGGGGAACCCAGUGAACCUUCUUCGUGAUUGGGAUAGAAGAUUGUAAUUAUUCUUCUUGAACGAGGAAUUCCCAGUAAAUGCGAGUCAUAAGCUCGCGUUGAUUACGUCCCUGCCCUUUGUACACACCGCCCGUCGCUACUACCGAUUGAACGAUUU
rnacentral:rRNA from 1 species